UACGAAGGGGGGCUAGCGUUGUUCGGAAUUACUGGGCGUAAAGCGCACGUAGGCGGCUUUUGUAAGUUAGAGGUGAAAGCCCAGGGCUCAACCCUGGAAUUGCCUUUUAAGACUGCAUCGCUAGAAUUGUGGAGAGGUAAGUGGAAUUCCGAGUGUAGAGGUGAAAUUCGUAGAUAUUCGGAAGAACACCAGUGGCGAAGGCGACUUACUGGACACAUAUUUGACGCUGAGGUGCGAAAAGCGUGGGGGAGCAAAACAGGGAUUA
rnacentral:rRNA from 1 species